AUGUUUGAAUCAGACUGUCCGUGCAUUUUGCCAUCCAACACCGGGCAUCAAAUUUGUUUAGACCACUCUAGAUGUCUGAAAUCUCACAAAUCGAAACCAAGCAUAUGGGAGGUUUGCGGACGUCCAAACCUUCGUUACGUUGGACUCCAACAUGCCCGACCCAUCCAAAAACCCCACCCGGAGCCCCACACUUUUGAACAUUCCCACCACAACCUUCGUCUUGAUUGUCACCUUCCCCCACCCCAUCAUCCGGUCGUCCGCCGCCAAGAUGGAGCCGCCGCCAGUGGACCUGGCGGAGACGAUCUUCGUCCCACCAGAGUCGGAGGACCCGAUGGUGGUGGACGCCCCAAGGCAGCCGCCAGAAGGCGAAGAAGAAGAAGUAGAAGAAGAAGGCGGGCGGUGCGUAGGUGGCCUGCCAGGGCAGACCUCGUCCAACAAAGCAAGCUGCCACCCUGGUGCCGCCCGAAUAAUCGACGAUGUGGUCGUCCCAGCCACAGCCUCCCUACCACUAUGCCUUCCAGCACCGCAGACCGUAGCAAUCGCCGCAACAGUUCGUGUUGUCACUCACCUCUAGCCAUCGUGUCUCAUUUUUCGUCGACCUCAACGCUGACUACGUCUUCAUGGAGUCGCAAUCGCCGGGGCUUGUCCGGUUGCGGGCCGAUUGUGGACCACAUGUCCGUCGGUGCCCAUUCACUGUUUGCCAGAAUGCCUCGUCCAAGCGGGACGAUGGUAGAUGACGAGGCGAUGAUGAACAUUAUCCAUGACGGAGGUAGCUACGAAUAUGGACAACUGGAUGACUCCCAGCCAGAGGAACAACCGCAGUCGGACACCUUGCAACCGAACAUGGAUCCGGAGGAGCACUGGCCACCUGGUGCCGACCCAAAGAAGAAGCAGAGGGGACUUAAUUUCUUCCCAGAGGAGGAUGAAUUGGUGUGUGAGGCAUGGUUCGCCAGUAGUAUCAAUCUGUUUCAGGGUACGGAGCAAAGGGCCGUGACGUUUUGUUAA
rnacentral:rRNA from 1 species